UCCUGGCUCAGGAUGAACGCUGGCGGCGUGCCUAACACAUGCAAGUCGAGCGAACCCUUCUGGGUGAGCGGCGGACGGGUGAGUAACGCGUGGGUAACCUGCCCUGUACACACGGAUAACAUACCGAAAGGUAUGCUAAUACGAGAUAAUAUAUUUUAAUCGCAUGGUUAAGAUAUCAAAGCUCCGGCGGUACAGGAUGGACCCGCGUCUGAUUAGCUAGUUGGUGAGGUAAUGGCUCACCAAGGCGACGAUCAGUAGCCGACCUGAGAGGGUGAUCGGCCACACUGGAACUGAGACACGGUCCAGACUCCUACGGGAGGCAGCAGUGGGGAAUAUUGCACAAUGGGCGAAAGCCUGAUGCAGCAACGCCGCGUGAGCGAUGAAGGCCUUCGGGUCGUAAAGCUCUGUCCUCAAGGAAGAUAAUGACGGUACUUGAGGAGGAAGCCCCGGCUAACUACGUGCCAGCAGCCGCGGUAAUACGUAGGGGGCUAGCGUUAUCCGGAAUUACUGGGCGUAAAGGGUGCGUAGGCGGUCUUUCAAGCCAGAAGUGAAAGGCUACGGCUCAACCGUAGUAAGCUUUUGGAACUGUAAGACUUGAGUGCAGGAGAGGAGAGUGGAAUUCCUAGUGUAGCGGUGAAAUGCGUAGAUAUUAGGAGGAACACCAGUAGCGAAGGCGGCUCUCUGGACUGUAACUGACGCUGAGGCACGAAAGCGUGGGGAGCAAACAGGAUUAGAUACCCUGGUAGUCCACGCCGUAAACGAUGAGUACUAGGUGUCGGGGGUUACCCCCCUCGGUGCCGCAGCUAACGCAUUAAGUACUCCGCCUGGGAAGUACGCUCGCAAGAGUGAAACUCAAAGGAAUUGACGGGGA
rnacentral:rRNA from 1 species